UACGUAGGUGGCAAGCGUUGUCCGGAUUUAUUGGGUUUAAAGGGUGCGUAGGCGGCCUUGUAAGUCAGUGGUGAAAUACUCUAGCUUAACUAGAGGGGUGCCAAUGAUACUGCAGGGCUUGAGUACAGAUGAGGUAGGCGGAAUUGACGGUGUAGCGGUGAAAUGCAUAGAUAUCGUCAAGAGCACCUAUAGCGAAGGCAGCUUACUGGGCUGUAACUGACGCUGAGGCACGAAAGUGUGGGGAUCAAACAGG
rnacentral:rRNA from 1 species